GAACGACCCGCGAAACCGUCUUUGCAUAACGAACCGAGCACGCGAGCGCCAAUCGCUCGCGCGUCUCCCGUCGCGUCGGCACGUGCCUUCUCGAGAGGGCCGCGCCGCACCGGCAGACCAACAAUGUCAGCACGGAUCGUGCCAAGGAGCUGUAAAUGCGAGCAUCGCCGUCCCACGCCCCCCUGUCCCACACGACGGCGGGCGGAGGACAAGGGCGAUCUCUGCACAUAGUCUAAAUGACUCUCGGCAACGGAUAUCUAGGCUCCUGCAUCGAUNAAGAACGUAGCGAAAUGCGAUACUGGUGUGAAUUGCAGAAUCCCGCGAACCAUCAAUUCUUUGAACGCAAGUUGCGCCCGAAGCCAAUCGGCCGAGGGCACGCCUGCCUGGGUGUCGUGAUCCCCCUUGGCCCCGGGCACCCGCACGUGCAUCGUCGCGGGAAUGCCCGGGCGCAAGAAUAUGGUCUCCCGCCGGGUCGGCGUGCGCGGCACGUUCGUGGGGGCGGUUGGCCGAAAAUCGAGCAUUGCGGCGACGGGCUCCAUGGCGUUCGGUGGAUCGAACGCGAUUGGCUGCGCUGUGGAUCCGUCUUGCCGCGGGCUCCGGACUACGAUGUUCCCGAGUGCGAUCCCAGGUCAGGCGGGGCUACCCGCUGAGUUUAAG
rnacentral:rRNA from 1 species